GGAGCCAAUCAGAGGCCCAAGCUAGAAAGGGGAGGAACCUGACCCGCUUAGCUUGCACCUCCACUGCCGCUGUCAUCCCCGCUGUCUCCGCCGCUUCUGUCUCUUCCCCGCUGAGAAGAUGACCGUGGGGAGGUCUGCGGGAGCCUCCGGCGGCGCUCAGUGGAGCCGUCAGAUAUUUCCCCCCAAAUCCUCCUCAGACACAGAGGCAGAAGAGGAGCUGUGUGGGAAUGGGCUGGUUUUGCCCAGGGCUGGCAAACUCAGUGAGUUCAUCAGCCCAGAGGAGGAGACAGAUUCUACUUCUGACUCAACUGCGAGUUUUUACGAGACCCUGCAGGCACUAAGGCAGAAAGACAGGUGGUGCCUGUUGGAAUCCCUUUAUCUGUCUGACCCAGACAGUGAUGAAAGCCUCUCUGAAGAUGAUGAGGACCUGGAGAGUUUCUUCCAAGACAAAGGCAGGGGGAAGCCACAGGUGCAGUCCCCCCUCUCUCCGAGGUGUGGCUCCAUGAGGCGCUGCAGCUCCUUGAGCAACCUGCCCGCCGAUCUUCCCAAGGCUCAGCCUCAGCCACCCUCCAGCUCCAGGCCUCCCUCCCAGCACAGAAGCAUCAGCUCCUGGGCUUCAUCCAUCACCGUCCCUCAGCCGUUCCGCAUGACGCUGCGCGAGGCCUGGAAGAAGGCCCAGUGGCUGGCCUCCCCUGCCUCCUUUGAGCAUGAGAGGCAGAAGGCCCAGAAGCAGGGCCAGGAGGAGGCCGAGUGCCACCGGCAGUUCCGGGCACAGCCUGUGCCUGCGCACGUCUACCUGCCCCUCUACCAGGAGAUCAUGGAGCGCAACGAGGCACGCAGGCGGGCAGGGAUCCAGAAGAGGAAGGAACUGCUCCUCUCUUCCUUGAAGCCCUUCAGCUUCCUGGGGAAGGACGAGCAGCGAAAGAAAGCCAUUCAACAGAGGGACCUGGUCGCCACAGCUAAGGCCAAAGUCCCCAAGCAGAAGGCCAUCAGGAGGAUCCCCACAGCCAUUCUGGAGCCAGCCCUCGGGGACAAACUCCAGGAAGCUGAGCUCUUGAGGAAAAUUCGCAUCCAGAUGAGAGCCCUGGACAUGCUCCAGAUGGCCUCCUCCCCCGUUGCCUCCUCCAGUGGCCGGGCUGACUCACAGCCUCGAAUAGCCACCCGGACCCGGGAGGAGAAGCUUGGGUUUCUGCACACUGACUUUGGAUUCCAGCCUCGGGUGAAUCCUGCCGUCCCUGACUAUGAAGAACUUUACAAGGCCUUCCAGAAAAGAGCUGCCAAGAGAAGAGACACCAAGGAGGUGACUCGCAACAAGCCCUUCUUGCUGAGAACCGCCAGUCUGCGUCGUACUCCUCGGCCCUGUGAUGCUGCUGCCUCUGAAGGGAGGAGGGAAUCUCCACAGCCACCCGGCACACCCCUGCCAAGGAGUCGUUCUCUGAGUGGGCUUGCUUCCCUCUCUGCCAACACCCUCCCCGUGCACAUCACAGACGCCACCAGGAAGAGGGAAUCUGCAGUCAGAAAUUCACUUGAGAAAAAGGACAAAGCAGAUCAAAGUACUCAGUGGUCGGAGAUGCACAAAAAGAAGUGUCAGGCGAUAUCUAAAUCUGUGACCUUGCGUGCCAAAGCCAUGGAUCCCCAUAAAAGCCUGGAGGAGGUGUUCAAAGCAAAGCUGAAAGAGAAUCGGAACAAUGACCGUAAAAGAGCAAAAGAGUAUAAGAAAGAAUUGGAGGAAAUGAAGAAGAGAAUACAAAUAAGGCCCUAUCUCUUCGAACAAGUUACCAAGGACCUUGCCAGGAAGGAAGCAGAACAACGGUAUCGAGACACCCUGAAGCAUGCUGGGCUGGAUGAAGACUUUGUGAGGAACAAGGGUCAGGGCAACCGGGCUUUACAGUGGAAGGAGCAAUCAGAAGUCCGUGAUUGUCCCAGCACUCAUGAAACUACAAAACUCGGCAUCAGGAAUCCACGGCAGGAUUUAGAAGAAUCUCUAGAACAGCCUACAAGCCCCAAGAAAGAACUAGAGGAGCUGUCUUAUGAAUUACCAGAUAAUCUCAAAUCAUUUGACUCAAACAUGGUCCUUUUGGUGAUGACAAGAAUGAUACUCUGAUAACUACCACGUGGGUUUGCUAGUUGGAGAUGAAGAUGCUCAUGUCAUCUUCCCGAAGACUUCUGAGCUCGGUUUUACCUGCAUGGACUCCUGAGGGUAGUCCGUGUUAUUGUGUCUGCCUGAGGCUGUGAGUGAGCAUCUCCCAGACAAGGACACUCGGAAGCCAGCUACAGGUUCAAGAGAACAAAUGUGCUAUUACUGGACUUUCUGCAUACACAAAUCUGACCAUGUCAUACCCCAUUUAAAACCAUGCAGUGGCUACCCAGUGCCCCCAGGAUAAAAUCAUGUCCUAUAAGGCCCUUAAAGAGAAGAACCAGCUUGUCUUUCCUGCUCUCAUUUUUCCAUCCCACACCAAUCUCUCCAUUCCAUGUCCAUCACACUCAACCCUUUGUGGUUGCAUAGUCAGGCGUGCUCCCUCUCCUUUGUACACAUUGCUACCUUUACGCCUGUUCAAUUUCUUCAAAUCUCUCCCACUUCUCCAUCAAGAUGAUUGCUAUUCAUCCCUCAGGUCUCAACUUAAACUCUAAAACUUAUUCCCUGACUUCCCCCAAGACUAACACUACUACCCGGUAUAAAAAUUGCCAGUUCACUGACCUGUUGCCCUUCCCAUUCUAAACUGUACAGCACAACUCCAGGGGCAUCAUUUACAUAGCUAUGGAGUUAUGAAAGGCAGAGGUCCUAACUCUGACGCUAAGCUCUUUGAGAUAGAGAUUAUAUUUUGUUUACUACUGUAUAGCUAGUACCCAGCAGAGUGCCUUGCACACAUCAGGUACAUAAUAUCUGUUGAAUGAAUUAUCUUUAUUCAUCUGGCA